GGGCCCGCACAAGCGGUGGAGCAUGUGGUUUAAUUCGAUGAUACGCGAGGAACCUUACCUAGGCUUAAAUGUAGAUUGACGUAUUGGGAAACCAGUAUUUCUUCGGACAAUCUACAAGGUGCUGCAUGGUUGUCGUCAGCUCGUGCCGUGAGGUGUCGGGUUAAGUCCCAUAACGAGCGCAACCCCUAUCAUUAGUUGCUAACAUUUAGUUGAGGACUCUAAUGAAACUGCCCGCGUAAGCGGUGAGGAAGGUGGGGAUGACGUCAAAUCAUCACGGCCCUUACGUCUAGGGCUACACACGUGCUACAAUGGUAACUACAGAGGGAAGCUAUCUGGUGACAGUGAGCAAAUCCUUAAAAGUUAUCCCAGUUCGGAUUGAAGUCUGCAACUCGACUUCAUGAAGUUGGAAUCGCUAGUAAUCGGAUAU
rnacentral:rRNA from 1 species